GAACGCUGGCGGCAGGCCUAACACAUGCAAGUCGAACGAACUCUUCGGAGUUAGUGGCGGACGGGUGAGUAACACGUGGGAACGUGCCUUUAGGUUCGGAAUAACUCAGGGAAACUUGUGCUAAUACCGAAUGUGCCCUUCGGGGGAAAGAUUUAUCGCCUUUAGAGCGGCCCGCGUCUGAUUAGCUAGUUGGUGAGGUAAAGGCUCACCAAGGCGACGAUCAGUAGCUGGUCUGAGAGGAUGAUCAGCCACAUUGGGACUGAGACACGGCCCAAACUCCUACGGGAGGCAGCAGUGGGGAAUCUUGCGCAAUGGGCGAAAGCCUGACGCAGCCAUGCCGCGUGAAUGAUGAAGGUCUUAGGAUUGUAAAAUUCUUUCACCGGGGACGAUAAUGACGGUACCCGGAGAAGAAGCCCCGGCUAACUUCGUG
rnacentral:rRNA from 1 species